rnacentral:tRNA from 1 species
GGUGGCUCAGUGGUAGAGUGCUUGCCUUGCAUGCAUGAGGGGCCCUGGGUUCGAUUCCUCAGCACCA